rnacentral:rRNA from 1 species
GAUGAACGCUGGCGGCAUGCCUAAUACAUGCAAGUCGAACGAACAGGCCCGUGGAAUAUGGAGUGCUUGCACAAAGUAUGAAAUGGAUUUUCUGUUAGUGGCGAACGGGUGAGUAACACGUGGGUAACCUACCCUUAAGUGUGGGAUAACUAUUAGAAAUGAUAGCUAAUACCGCAUAGGAUAUAUGUUGGCAUCAAUAUAUAUUUAAAGUCGCGUUAGCGUCGCUAAAGGAUGGACCUGCGCUGCAUUAGCUAGUUGGAGAGGUAGAGGCUCACCAAGGCAACGAUGCAUAGCCGGACUGAGAGGUUGAACGGCCACAUUGGGACUGAGACACGGCCCAAACACCUACGGGUGGCAGCAGUAGGGAACUUUUCGCAAUGGACGAAAGUCUGACGGAGCAAUGCCGCGUGAACGAUGAAGGUUUUCGGAUCGUAAAGUUCUGUUGUAAGGGAAGAACAAGUGGAUAAGGAAAUGUAUCCACCCUGACGGUACCCUACCAGAAAGGGACGGCUAACUACGUGCCAGCCGCCGCAGUAAAAC